ACACAGUACUCUCCCAGAUUUUCCAAAAUGGGAGCAUCGAAUCCUUACACAAAAUAUGAAUCAACCGUAAAAAAUGACGAUAAAUGGCUGGCGUAAGUCAAAAACAGAUUCAAAUGUAUCGUUUUCGUUGUUUC
rnacentral:ribozyme from 1 species